rnacentral:rRNA from 1 species
AAGUUUGAAACACAAAGGAAUUGACGGGGGCCCGCACAAGCGGUGGAUUAUGUGGUUUAAUUCGAUGAUACGCGAGGAACCUUACCAAGGCUUAAAUGGGAAUUGAUCGGUUUAGAAAUAGACCUUCCUUCGGGCAAUUUUCAAGGUGCUGCAUGGUUGUCGUCAGCUCGUGCCGUGAGGUGUUAGGUUAAGUCCUGCAACGAGCGCAUCCCCUGUCACUAGUUGCCAUCAUUCAGUUGGGGACUCUGGUGAGACUGCCUACGCAAGUAGAGAGGAAGGUGGGGAUGACGUCAAAUCAUCACGGCCCUUACGCCUUGGGCCACACACGUAUUACAAUGGCCGGUACAGAGGGCAGCUACACAGCGAUGUGAUGCAAAUCUCGAAAGCCGGUCUCAGUUCGGAUUGGAGUCUGCAACUCGACUCUAUGAAGCUGGAGUCGCUAGUAAUCGCGCAUCAGCCAUGGCGCGGUGAAUACGUUCCCGGGCCUUGUACACACCGCCCGUCAAGCCAUGGGAGUCUGGGGUACCUGAAGUCGGUGACCGUAAAAGGAGCUGCCUAGGGUAUAACAGGUAACUAGGGCUAAGUCGUAAC